GACGAACGCUGGCGGCGUGCUUAACACAUGCAACUCGAACGGAAAGGCCUGCUCUCCCUUCUGGAUUGCGGGUACUGGAGUGGCGAACGGGUGAGUAACACGUGAGUGAUCUGCCCCCAACUUGGGUAUAAGCCUGGGGAACUCGGUCUAAUUCCCGAUAGGACUGCAGUGUGGUGCCUGUGGUGGAAAACGAUUUUCUAGUGGUUGGGGAUGAGCUCGCGGCCUAUCAGCUUGUUGGUGGGGUAAUGGCCCACCAAGGCGGCGACGGGUAGCCGGCCUGAGAGGGUGGACGGCCACAUUGGGACGGAGAUACGGCCCAGACUCCGACGGGAGGCAGCAGUGGGGAAUAUUGCCCAAUGGGCGGAAGCCUGAUGCAGCGACGCCGCGUGGGGGAUGACGGCCUUCGGGUUGUAAACUCCCUUCGGCCGCGAGGAAGCCACCUGGUUGGAAGGGUGGUGACGGUAGUGGUAGAAGAAGCACCGGCUAACUACGUG
rnacentral:rRNA from 1 species